rnacentral:rRNA from 1 species
CUCAGUUCGGAUUGGAGUCUGNAACCCGACUCCAUGAAGCUGGAUUCGCUAGUAAUCGCGCAUCAGCCAUGGCGCGGUGAAUACGUUCCCGGGCCUUGUACACACCGCCCGUCAAGCCAUGGAAGCCGGGGUGCCUGAAGUGCGUGACCGCAAGGAGCGCCCUAAGGUAAAACCGGUGACUGGGGCUAAGUCGUAACAAGGUACC